rnacentral:rRNA from 1 species
CCUACGGGAGGCAGCAGUGAGGAAUAUUGGUCAAUGGACGCAAGUCUGAACCAGCCAUGCCGCGUGCAGGAAGACGGCUCUAUGAGUUGUAAACUGCUUUUGUACGAGGGUAAAUCCCGAUACGUGUAUCGGGUUGAAAGUAUCGUACGAAUAAGGAUCGGCUAACUCCGUGCCAGCAGCCGCGGUAAUACGGAGGAUUCAAGCGUUAUCCGGAUUUAUUGGGUUUAAAGGGUGCGUAGGCGGUUCGAUAAGUUAGAGGUGAAAGCCCGGGGCUCAACUCCGGCACUGCCUCUGAUACUGUCGGGCUAGAGUUUAGUUGCGGUAGGCGGAAUGUAUGGUGUAGCGGUGAAAUGCAUAGAGAUCAUACAGAACACCGAUGGCGAAGGCAGCUUACCAAACUACGACUGACGUUGAGGCACGAAAGCGUGGGGAGCAAACAGGAUUAGAUACCCCUGUAGUC